UAGCACUUCAGGAAUGCCAUAAAGAGCAUC
rnacentral:piRNA from 1 species